GAAAAAGAGUAAUUUUUCCUUCAUUUCCAUUUCUCAAAAAGUAAUGUACAAGAUAGAUAUAAAAUUUUUUUUUAAAAAAAAAACCCUAAUUAUGUUACAAAAAAAAUUACAAGACGACAUAAUUGAAUCCUUUCAAUCCUCACUCACUCAGGCAGAAAUCAAUAUUUCAGUAUUAGGAUGGAUCUGCUUUGCCUCUAACUCCUUUUGGAAAUCAUGUAUGUAUCACAAAACAAAUAAAAGAAAAAAAAAAAAAAA
rnacentral:misc_RNA from 1 species